GAUGAAGAACGUAGCGAAAUGCGAUACGUAAUGUGAAUUGCAAAUUCAGUGAAUCAUCGAGUCUUUGAACGCACAUUGCGCCCCCUGGUAUUCCGGGGGGCAUGCCUGUCCGAGCGUCAUUGCUGCCCUCAAGCACGGCUUGUGUGUUGGGCCCCGUCCUCCGAUUCCGGGGGACGGGCCCGAAAGGCAGCGGCGGCACCGCGUCCGGUCCUCGAGCGUAUGGGACUUUGUCACCCGCUCUGUAGGCCCGGCCGGCGCUUGCCGAUCAACCCAAAUUUUUAUCCAGGUUGACCUCGGAUCAGGUAGGGAUACCCGCUGAACUUAAGCAUAUCAAUAAGCGGAGGA
rnacentral:misc_RNA from 1 species